UACGGAGGGUGCAAGCGUUAUCCGGAUUCACUGGGUUUAAAGGGUGCGUAGGUGGGCUAGUAAGUCAGUGGUGAAAUCCCUCAGCUUAACUGGGGAACUGCGUCUGAUACUGGAUGGCUUGAGUUUGGGAGAGGGAUGCGGAAUUCCAGGUGUAGCGGUGAAAUGCGUAGAUAUCUGGAGGAACACCGGUGGCGAAGGCGGCAUCCUGGACCAACACUGACACUGAGGAGCGAAAGCCAGGGGAGCAAACGGG
rnacentral:rRNA from 1 species